rnacentral:rRNA from 1 species
GAUGAACGCUGGCGGCGUGCCUAACACAUGCAAGUCGAGCGAGAAACCUGCAAUUGAAACUUCGGUAGAUUUUGCGGGCGGAAAGCGGCGGACGGGUGAGUAACGCGUAGGCAACCUGCCCUUUGCAGAGGGAUAGCAACGGGAAACUGUUAUUAAAACCUCAUAAUACCGACAUGUCAAAUGACAAGACGGUCAAAGAUUUAUCGGCAAAGGAUGGGCCUGCGUCUGAUUAGUUAGUUGGUAGGGUAACGGCCUACCAAGGCAGCGAUCAGUAGCCGACCUGAGAGGGUGAUCGGCCACAUUGGAACUGAGACACGGUCCAAACUCCUACGGGAGGCAGCAGUGGGGAAUAUUGCACAAUGGGCGAAAGCCUGAUGCAGCAACGCCGCGUGAAGGAUGAAGGCCUUUGGGUCGUAAACUUCUGUCCUUGGGGAAGAAAAAAAUGACGGUACCCCUGGAGGAAGUCCCGGCUAACUACGUG